GAUGAACGCUAGCGGCAGGCCUAACACAUGCAAGUCGAACGGUAACAGGGAGAAGCUUGCUUUUCCGCUGACGAGUGGCGCACGGGUGCGCAACGCGUAUAGAACCUACCCUGUACAGGGGGAUAGCCCGGAGAAAUCCGGAUUAAUACCCCGUAGUAAUUAGAAUUGGCAUCGAUUUUAAUUUAAAGCUUCGGCGGUACAGGAUGGCUAUGCGUCCUAUUAGCCAGAUGGUGAGGUAACGUCUCACCAUAGCUAUGAUAGGUAGGGGCCCUGAGAGGGGGAUCCCCCACACUGGUACUGAGACACGGACCAGACUCCUACGGGAGGCAGCAGUGAGGAAUAUUGGACAAUGGGCUCACGCCUGAUCCAGCCAUGCCGCGUGCAGGAAGACAGCCCUAUGGGUUGUAAACUGCUUUUAUACGGGAAGAAUAAGGGGCACGUGUGCCCUGGUGACGGUACCGUAAGAAUAAGGACCGGCUAACUCCGUGCCAGCAGCCGCGGUAAUACGGAGGGUCCGAGCGUUAUCCGGAAUCAUUGGGUUUAAAGGGUC
rnacentral:rRNA from 1 species